UACGUAGGCAGCGAGCGUUGUUCGGAGUUACUGGGCGUAAAGGGUGUGUAGGCGGUUCUUUAAGUUUGGUGUGAAAUCUCCCGGCUCAACCGGGAGGGUGCGCCGAAUACUGAGGGACUAGAGUACGGGAGAGGAGAGUGGAAUUCCUGGUGUAGCGGUGAAAUGCGCAGAUAUCAGGAAGAACACCCGUGGCGAAAGCGGCUCUCUGGAACGGUACUGACGCUGAGACGCGAAAGCGUGGGGAGCGAACAGG
rnacentral:rRNA from 1 species